CAAUAGCGUAUAUUAAAGUUGUUGCAGUUAAAAAGCUCGUAGUUGGAUUUGUGGCGUACGGUGUGUUCCGGGCACUUGUUGUCUGAGUAACCUGCUGUUGCCAUCCUUGGGUGGAACCUGUGUGGCAUUAGGUUGUCGUGCAGGGGAUGCCCAUCAUUUACUGUGAAAAAAUUAGAGUGUUCAAAGCAGGCUUAUGCCGUUGAAUAUAUUAGCAUGGAAUAAUGAGAUAGGACUUUUUUGCUAUUUUGUUGGUUUGCGCAAAGAGGUAAUGAUUAAUAGGGACAGUUGGGGGUAUUCGUAUUCCAUUGUCAGAGGUGAAAUUCUUGGAUUUUGGAAGACGAACUACUGCGAAAGCAUUUACCAAGGAUGUUUUCAUUAA
rnacentral:rRNA from 1 species